AUGUGCGACCACAAACCGCCCCUGGAGGACGCGGGAAUUUUUUUCACUCUUAAAGAUUUGCUAUAUCUCCUGGCUGUCUGGGUAUCCAAGGCUCUACGUUUUCACGCGCCGAGCGGUCCCCUUCCCUGGUUUACUGGAGGAACUUGCGCAGCUGGGCUCGUCCAGCUCGGAGGAGUCGAGAGGAGGCGCCGGCGGAGAGCCGAAGCGCCGCCGCCAGCCCCGCGGCGCGCCCGUGGAGAGCUCCGCGCCGGCAUGGGUGCGCUGACAAAGGGACGUUACCUCUCCGCGAUGGGCCUCCUGCUCCUGGUGUACUGCACGGUGUCAGUGGUCUGCAAAGGUUUUGAGGAUUGCCUCUGCACGUUGGCUAUCAGGGCAAAUCUGUGCUGUUGCAUAGUUAUCCCAACAUCAGUUGUGAAUCGGACUUUGGGAGGGAAGUUGAGUGGUGAGUCAUGA
ensembl:lncRNA